rnacentral:rRNA from 1 species
CAGCCGCCGCGGUAAUACCAACCCCGCGAGUGGUCGGGACGUUUAUUGGGCCUAAAGCGUCCGUAGCCGGCCCGGUAAGUCCCUCCUUAAAGCCCACGGCUCAACCGUGGGAGCGGAGGGAUACUGCCGGGCUAGGGGGCGGGAGAGGCCGGGGGUACUCCUGGGGUAGGGGCGAAAUCCUAUAAUCCCAGGAGGACCACCAGUAGCGAAGGCGCCCGGCUAGCACGCGCCCGACGGUGAGGGACGAAAGCUGGGGGAGCAAAGGGGAUUAGAUACCCCCGUAGUCCCAGCUGUAAACGAUGCAGGCUAGGUGUUAGGCGGGCUUCGUGCCCGCCUAGUGCCGUAGGGAAGCCGUUAAGACUGCCGCCUGGGGAGUACGGCCGCAAGGCUGAAACUUAAAGGAAUUGGCGGG